AUUGAACGCUGGCGGUAUGCUUAACACAUGCAAGUCGAACGGUAACAGGCCUUCGGGCGCUGACGAGUGGCGGACGGGUGCGUAACGCGUAGGAAUCUGCCUGUUAGUGGGGGACAACGUGGGGAAACUCACGCUAAUACCGCAUACGCCCUACGGGGAAAGCGGGGGAGUCUUCGGACCUCGCGCUAACAGAUGAGCCUGCGUGGGAUUAGCUAGUUGGUAGGGUAAAGGCCUACCAAGGCGACGAUCCCUAGCUGGUCUGAGAGGACGAUCAGCCACACUGGGACUGAGACACGGCCCAGACUCCUACGGGAGGCAGCAGUGGGGAAUAUUGGACAAUGGGCGAAAGCCUGGUCCAGCAAUACCGCGUGUGUGAAGAAGG
rnacentral:rRNA from 1 species